rnacentral:lncRNA from 1 species
GCUAGAACGGGGAUUAACCAGGGAUUUCCCUCGGUGGACAGCGCCACCUGGGGCCCAAUUGAUAGAACUUGAGUCCUGCUGGGGAUUCCACUGCCGACUUUCACUUCCUAUGGGAACUCCACGCAGCUCUGAGCUAGGCCCUGGGGAUAAAGAAGGCUUUCGGACAUGAGGAGGGAAAGGCCACAGAGACUAGCCACUCAUGAUGAGACGCUGUGACCGCAGAAAGUCCAGGGCAGAGGAGGGUCUCUGAGCCUGCGGAACCACGGAAGGGAAGGAUUACCUUCGUUACAACUCUCAUUGACUUAUCUCUGGGCCAGGUCCUGUACAGGCCAUGGGAACCCUCAGGCAAUCCAUUACGACUUGAUGGUGAAAGUGCCUGUUUGCUAUCCCUGCCUUGGAGCCAGCCAGUUAUGGACUGAAACCUCUACAAACUGGAAAGGACUGCAUAAAGGUUUACGCACCUGGAGGCAGGAGGAAGGACUGACUUUGAGUCUGUCUGUCAGAACUAUCUCAAAAGCUCCCAGGAGGAGAGCUGCCUCCAAUGAAGAGGAGGUGAACCUUCCAGGCCACCAUACCACCACCCCCUAGUGCCGAUGAGGUCAGCUGCAUGGGCACCAGUAGCACACAUUCCUCCCCCCGACCCCGUUGCAAUGAGAAGGCACAUAAAUAAGUCUCAAAACCAGACUUCCAGAUCACCUAAAGCAACCCCAAAGGGCAAUGAGAUGAAACAAUCUGAUACUCAACCACCUGGACUCUCUGAACUGGCAACAAAAGAGGAUCUGGAAGUAAUGAAAUUAGAAAUAAUUUCUCAGAUAACAGUAGAGAUUGUGCCCAUAGUGCAAGACAUGAUUAAUAAAUCUAGACAGGACACAGAUAAAAAAAAAAUAGAGGAGCUGAGGAACAUGAUGGAAAACAUAGGAAAUAAAUGGAAUCCACAAAACAGAUGCAAACAGAUUUCCGGGAGAUUAAAAACUCCAUUGAGAGUUUACACAGCAGAAUGAGCUAAUGUGAGGACAGAAUUUCAGAUAUAGAAGAUAAGAUUGCAAUUAGUGACCAGGAAAAGAAAAAUUUCUUGGGCCAGUGAUUUAGCUCAGUG